AGUAAAAGUCGUAACAAGGUUUCCGUAGGUGAACCUGCGGAAGGAUCAUUAUCGAGUUUGAAGUGGGCCUUUGAGCUCUCGUAUGUGCUCGGGCCCCGCUCCAAUCCACUCAACCCCUGUGCACUUUCGGAGUUGCGGGUCACUGUUAACGCAGUCUCGUGGCUUCGUCUCUUAUCACAAACCAUUUAUUAUAUGUCUUGUAGAACGUGGAUGCCUGUAAAGGCGGAAACUCAAUACAACUUUCAACAACGGAUCUCUUGGCUCUCGCAUCGAUGAAGAACGCAGCGAAAUGCGAUAAGUAAUGUGAAUUGCAGAAUUCAGUGAAUCAUCGAAUCUUUGAACGCACCUUGCGCUCCUGGACUUGUUUCAGGAGCAUGCCUGUUUGAGUGUCAUGAAAUCAUCAACCACGUUGCUUUAGUGCGCCGUGGCUUGGACUUGGGGGUUUGCGGGCGUUCUAGCGUCGGCUUCCCUUGAAUGCAUUAGUCGGGCGCCCUUUGCUCGAGAAGUGUGAUAAUUAUCAUUCACUGAUCGACGAGGGACCUUGUCUCGGCUUCUAACCGCAUGCUUGCAUGCAUCUUUGACACAUCUGACCUCAAAUCAGGUAGGACUACCCGCUGAACUUAAGCAUAUCAAUAAGCGGAGGA
rnacentral:rRNA from 1 species